rnacentral:rRNA from 1 species
AUUGAACGCUGGCGGCAGGCCUAACACAUGCAAGUCGAACGAGUGGCGGACGGGUGAGUAAUGUCUGGGGAACUGCCCGAUGGGGGGGGAUAACUACUGGAAACGGUAGCUAAUACCGCAUACCAUCGGAGGUGCGCACAUGGGAUUAUCUAGUAGGUGGGGGAACGGCUCACCUAGGCGACGAUCCCUAGCUGGUCUGAGAGGAUGACCAGCCACACUGGAACUGAGACACGGUCCAGACUCCUACGGGAGGCAGCAGUGGGGAAUAUUGCACAAUAGGCGCAAGCCUGAUGCAGCCAUGCCGCGUGUAUGAAGAAGGCCUGCGGGUUGUAAAGUACUUUCAGCGAGGAGGCGUUACUCGCAGAAGAAGCACCGGCUAACUCCGUGCCAGCAGCCGCGGUAAUAC